UACGUAGGCAGCGAGCGUUGUUCGGAGUUACUGGGCGUAAAGAGUGCGUAGGCGGUUUUCUAAGUUUGGUGUGAAAUCUCCCGGCUUAACUGGGAGGGUGCGCCGAAAACUGGAAGGCUUGAGUAUGGGAGAGGUAAGCGGAAUUCCUGGUGUAGCGGUGAAAUGCGUAGAUAUCAGGAGGAACACCUGCGGUGUAGACGGCUUACUGGACCAUAACUGACGCUGAGGCACGAAAGCCAGGGGAGCAAACGGG
rnacentral:rRNA from 1 species